CAUGUGCCCUGGACCAGAAUUUAACCUGGGACCCUUCGGUCCACAGGCCGACACUCUAUCCACUGAGUCAAACUAGCCAGGGUUAUAUCUGAUUUUUGAAUUGGCCUUGACAGUUCAAACCCACAUUGUUCAAUGGUCAACUGGUAGUGGAAUUCUGAAUAUACAGAGAACCAACUUAAAUUAUAAAUGGAUUUCCUAUUGUGUGAGUAGUCAGUGCCCUUAACCUCUACAUUGUUCAAGGGUCAACUUUAUAUUGCUUCUUUUUAUUACCACUUUUAAUGUAUCCUCUGGGGAAUUUGGAGUCUGUAUCUGUUGAAAUGAAACUAUUACAUGGGGAGUACUAGAAGUUUAAGAAGUGGGCCUAGGUAAAAAGAAGGGAGAAGCAUUCAAUGUGGAUGAAACCUGUGCAGAGUAUGUGCGUGUUGACAUAUUUGCUCUGUGUGAAUCUUUGAUUUGGUCUACAAAUCUAUUACCGGGGAUGUUAUAUAUCCACUUUGCUUAAAAGCUGGAAAGGCAAGGAGGAAGAAAUCUUUCUGAGUCUUUAAAGGGGGUGAAACAAUACAGCUUGUGCAUGUAAAGAAUAAACUUUUUUAGUUACCAUUAUGUCCUUGAGCACAGAUUAGUAUAGGGGUUAAGAGUAUAGGUAGCAUAUGAGUCAUGGCUCUGAAUCCUACAAAUUGAGUCACCUUAGAUAAAUCAUUUUAACUGCUCAUACUCAGUUUUCUCAUUUGUGAACAUGGGGCAAUGGUGUCUUAUUUUCCCAUUCUUACUGAACAUGUCAUUAAACAUUUGUUGAUGAAUAAAUGAAUGAAUGCUAAAUGAAUUAGUGGUUGA